rnacentral:rRNA from 1 species
AACGAACGCUGGCGGCAGGCCUAACACAUGCAAGUCGAGCGAGAUCUUCGGGUCUAGCGGCGGACGGGUGAGUAACGCGUGGGAAUAUGCCUCUUGGUACGGAAUCGCCUCGGGAAACUGGGAGUAAUACCGUAUGUGCCCUUUGGGGGAAAGAUUUAUCGCCAAGAGAUUAGCCCGCGUUGGAUUAGGUAGUUGGUGGGGUAAUGGCCUACCAAGCCGACGAUCCAUAGCUGGUUUGAGAGGAUGAUCAGCCACACUGGGACUGAGACACGGCCCAGACUCCUACGGGAGGCAGCAGUGGGGAAUCUUAGACAAUGGGGGCAACCCUGAUCUAGCCAUGCCGCGUGAGUGAUGAAGGCCUUAGGGUUGUAAAGCUCUUUCAGCUGGGAAGAUAAUGACGGUACCAGCAGAAGAAGCCCCGGCUAACUCCGUG